CCGUGUUACGCAUAUGCGCGCAUUUAUCUAUAGUACACGUCACGUUUACUACAGAAAAUGCGCUCAUAUACAUGAAACGAAAUGCGGCCAUAAUGCGCACAGUUCUGCGCAUUGAGUAUGGUCAGUGGUCCGCGUGUUUAUAUUACUGCACGUGGAGUACGUGUUAAAUAUCUAAAAAGUUAUUAACAGUGGUGAACGAUAAUCAUGGAUGGAAAUUAUUAGUCAUCCUAAAGUCUGUUGUUGUGUCCGUAAACAUGUUUAAACAGUUUGGACAUUAUUUUUGUGCUUUCACUGAUCAUUCGGAUAUUUCACUGACCGACCACGUGUACCGACUAGCGAAUAGUGUACGCAUAUCUUUUGUUCUUUAGUGGUUCCAGAUCCUUUCCUUUGCAAGCUUGCAUUUUUUUUGUCAAUAUUACCACAUUCGGGAUAAAAUUGCAAUUAUGUCUGACAGCGAUAAUGAUGAACAAAUAGUUCAUUGAUUCAAAAUUGUGAGGUUUAUUAAAUGCGCAGAAAAGGUUCCACAAAAGAGAUUGAUAUCGUUCCUUCAACUUGAAUUAAUUGGGAUAAAAACACUAAACGAUUGAAAGUUCCAUUUCUUCCACCUCCAUAUACAACAGAAGGGAUAAAUAAUCUCCAUGAUUUGGUUAAAAACGAAGUGGAAGCACCAGAGUCAUGGCCACUGUUCAGUGUUGACAUUGUUGGUCAAGCAAAAACAUAUUCAGAUGCUGUUGAUCGCUUAAUGCUUCUUGAUCAAAAGGAGACUGCUUUUUCACAGGAUUCGGAAGAUGACGAACUAAAAAUUAAGAAAGCACAAGCAAUUUAUCAACAAAAGAUUUAAAAAAAGUGCGGAAGAAAUUAAAGAAAUUUUUAGUAGAACUCCUAUGUUUACAAAAAAAUCUUGUAGUCAGUCAGAUAUGAUUAUAUUUUAAAAUACCAACGUAAACCUGUCAAGUCAUCCAAGUCAUCAAUGAAUACCAAAGAUGAAGUACAAAUAUCUUCGUAGUAAUACUAUUGUAAGCGAGUUAAGUAAGGCCAUGUUUUUUAUUUCAUUGAUGGAUCAAGCGCAUGAUGCGCAAAUGCUACACGUGCAGAUUUGCGCAUAAUGCGCUUGAUCCAUCAAUGAAUUAAAAAACAUGGCCUAAAGCUCACGGGCUACAAGUCAUUUUACUGUACAAUUAUAGUUUAGUUAAAGUUCAACAUGUAAAAUUAAUAA